rnacentral:SRP_RNA from 1 species
GUCGGGUGCAGUGGCGCGUGCCUGUAAUCCAAGCUGCUGGGAGACUGAGGCUGGCGGAUCGCUUGAGUUCAGGGGUUCUGGGCUGCAGUGGACUAUGUUGAUCAGGUGUCCACACUAAGUUCGGUAUCGAUAUGGUGCUCCUGGGGGAGCUUGGGACCACCAGGUCGUCUAAGGAGGGGUGAACCGGCCCAGGUCAGAGAUGGAGCAGGUCAAAGCCCCCGUGUCGAUCAGUAGUGGGAUCGCGCCUGUGAAUAGACACUUCAGUGCAGCCUGAGCGAUACAGAGAGACCCAGACUUUU